rnacentral:rRNA from 1 species
GACGAACGCUGGCGGCGUGCUUAACACAUGCAAGUCGAACGGAAAGGCCCUGCUUUUGUGGGGUGCUCGAGUGGCGAACGGGUGAGUAACACGUGAGUAACCUGCCCUUGACUUUGGGAUAACUUCAGGAAACUGGGGCUAAUACCGGAUAGGAGCUCCUGCUGCAUGGUGGGGGUUGGAAAGUUUCGGCGGUUGGGGAUGGACUCGCGGCUUAUCAGCUUGUUGGUGGGGUAGUGGCUUACCAAGGCUUUGACGGGUAGCCGGCCUGAGAGGGUGACCGGACACAUUGGGACUGAGAUACGGCCCAGACUCCUACGGGAGGCAGCAGUGGGGAAUAUUGCAAAAUGGGCGGAAGCCUGAUGCAGCAACGCCGCGUGCGGGAUGACGGCCUUCGGGUUGUAAACCGCUUUCGCCUGUGACGAAGCGUGAGUGACGGUAAUGGGUAAAGAAGCACCGGCUAACUACGUG